rnacentral:rRNA from 1 species
GAGUUUGAUCCUGGCUCAGGAUGAACGCUGGCGGCGUGCCUAACACAUGCAAGUCGAGCGAAGCACUUUACUUCGAUUCUUUCGGGAUGAGGAGUGAUUUGACUGAGCGGCGGACGGGUGAGUAACGCGUGGGUAACCUGCCUCAUACAGGGGGAUAACAGUUAGAAAUGACUGCUAAUACCGCAUAAGACCACAGCACUGCAUGGUGCAGUGGUAAAAACUCCGGUGGUAUGAGAUGGACCCGCGUCUGAUUAGCCAGUUGGCAGGGUAACGGCCUACCAAAGCGACGAUCAGUAGCCGGCCUGAGAGGGUGAACGGCCACAUUGGGACUGAGACACGGCCCAAACUCCUACGGGAGGCAGCAGUGGGGAAUAUUGCACAAUGGGGGAAACCCUGAUGCAGCGACGCCGCGUGAGCGAUGAAGUAUUUCGGUAUGUAAAGCUCUAUCAGCAGGGAAGAAAAUGACGGUACCUGACUAAGAAGCCCCGGCUAACUACGUGCCAGCAGCCGCGGUAAUACGUAGGGGGCAAGCGUUAUCCGGAUUUACUGGG